AGCAGUAGCCGCGGGAAUACGUAGGGUGCAAGCGUUAAUCGGAAUUACUGGGCGUAAAGCGUGCGCAGGCGGUUAUAUAAGACAGAUGUGAAAUCCCCGGGCUCAACCUGGGAACUGCAUUUGUGACUGUAUAGCUAGAGUACGGCAGAGGGGGAUGGAAUUCCGCGUGUAGCAGUGAAAUGCGUAGAUAUGCGGAGGAACACCGAUGGCGAAGGCAAUCCCCUGGGCCUGUACUGACGCUCAUGCACGAAAGCGUGGGGAGCAAACAGGAUUAGAUACCCGCGUAGUCCCUGUCUCUUAUAC
rnacentral:rRNA from 1 species